rnacentral:rRNA from 1 species
GGCUCAGGAUGAACGCUAGCGGCAGGCUUAACACAUGCAAGUCGAGGGGCAGCGAGGGUGAUAGCAAUAUUACCUGUCGGCGACCGGCGCACGGGUGCGUAACGCGUAUGCAACCUACCAUCAACAGGGGGAUAACACUGAGAAAUUGGUACUAAUACCCCAUAAUAUCUCAUGCGGCAUCGCAUGGGGUUGAAAACUCCGGUGGUUGAUGAUGGGCAUGCGUUGUAUUAGCUGGUUGGUGAGGUAACGGCUCACCAAGGCGACGAUACAUAGGGGGACUGAGAGGUUAACCCCCCACAUUGGUACUGAGACACGGACCAAACUCCUACGGGAGGCAGCAGUGAGGAAUAUUGGUCAAUGGACGCAAGUCUGAACCAGCCAUGCCGCGUGCAGGAUGACGGCUCUAUGAGUUGUAAACUGCUUUUGUACGAGGGUAAACCCCGAUACGUGUAUCGGGUUGAAAGUAUCGUACGAAUAAGGAUCGGCUAACUCCGUG